rnacentral:piRNA from 1 species
GUUGAAAAUGUUUUUGAAAA